AUUGCCAUGUGUGACGAGGUAUUGGUGGAAAAUGCUAUAAUCCAAUUAUUCGACCUCUCCAACUAUUCUGAUAGUUUGCAAACCGAGGCAAAAGAGAACGCUAUCUUUCGAAGUUGACAAGCAUCUAAUGCCAGAAUGAUCGGUCAAAUUUCCCAAUGUGAAUUUGCUGCCACAAAAUCCUUGAGGUGCUGUGAAAUGAACACUGCAGAGCAUUAGCACUAUAUGAUGACCUUUACAACCAGAUCGAAGAAGGAAUUGUGUCAGCUCAAAAAGACAUUGAAGCAACCAAGAAGUAGUUGCAAGAAGCAAGACAGAUUCGUAGGAAUAAAAUCGAAUAUGAUGCUUUGGCUGCCAUUAUUCAAACACAGCCUGAUCGAAAGAGCACCCAAGAGAAAUUAUCUCUAUUGCGACAGGUACUGGAAGCCUCAGAAUGUGAAUGUCAGAAAUUGGAAGCUAGAUUAAAACAAAGACGCAAACAAUUUCACUUACUCAUUUCAACUAUCCAAGGAUUACAGCAACUUCUCAACGAUGAUGAAGCAUCCUAAUUGUUUUUUUUGUAUGCAUCCAUAUUCUCUAUUUUUAAUAAUGCUAACAAAUACAAAUCAUUUGAAACACAAAAAAAUCUAUGUAUGAAUAAACUAUCCAAACGAUACAUAUCCAACAAGGAAUGCCACAGAA